rnacentral:rRNA from 1 species
AGUCCACAUCGACGGCAAGGUUUGGCACCUCGAUGUCGGCUCAUCGCAUCCUGGGGCUGGAGCAGGUCCCAAGGGUACGGCUGUUCGCCGUUUAAAGCGGUACGCGAGCUGGGUUCAGAACGUCGUGAGACAGUUCGGUCCCUAUCCUCCGUGGGCGCAGGAGAAUCGAGGGAGGCUGCCCCUAGUACGAGAGGACCGGGGUGGACGGACCUCCGGUGAACCGGUUGUCGACCGACGGCAUGGCCGGGUAGCCGCGUCCGGCGCGGAUAACCGCUGAAGGCAUCUAAGCGGGAAGCCGUUCCCGAGAUCAGUUCUCCUUUCGGUAAGGGCCCAGGUAGACCACCUGGUUGAUAGGCCCCAGGUGCAAGCGCGGCGACGCGCUCAGCCGAGGGGUACUAAUCGCCCGAGCUCUUCUCA